GCGUGCUAUAAUGCAGUCGACGAACUCUGGUAUUGAUUGGUGCUUGCAUCAUGAUUUACAUUUGAGUGAGUGGCGAACUGGUGAGUAACACGUGGGAAACCUGCCCAGAAGCGGGGGAUAACACCUGGAAACAGAUGCUAAUACCGCAUAACAACUUGGACCGCAUGGUCCGAGUUUGAAAGAUGGCUUCGGCUAUCACUUUUGGAUGGUCCCGCGGCGUAUUAGCUAGAUGGUGGGGUAACGGCUCACCAUGGCAAUGAUACGUAGCCGACCUGAGAGGGUAAUCGGCCACAUUGGGACUGAGACACGGCCCAAACUCCUACGGGAGGCAGCAGUAGGGAAUCUUCCACAAUGGACGAAAGUCUGAUGGAGCAACGCCGCGUGAGUGAAGAAGGGUUUCGGCUCGUAAAACUCUGUUGUUAAAGAAGAACAUAUCUGAGAGUAACUGUUCAGGUAUUGACGGUAUUUAACCAGAAAGCCACGGCUAACUACGUGCCAGCAGCCGCGGUAAUACGUAGGUGGCAAGCGUUGUCCGGAUUUAUUGGGCGUAAAGCGAGCGCAGGCGGUUUUUUAAGUCUGAUGUGAAAGCCUUCGGCUCAACCGAAGAAGUGCAUCGGAAACUGGGAAACUUGAGUGCAGAAGAGGACAGUGGAACUCCAUGUGUAGCGGUGAAAUGCGUAGAUAUAUGGAAGAACACCAGUGGCGAAGGCGGCUGUCUGGUCUGUAACUGACGCUGAGGCUCGAAAGUAUGGGUAGCAAACAGGAUUAGAUACCCUGGUAGUCCAUACCGUAAACGAUGAAUGCUAAGUGUUGGAGGGUUUCCGCCCUUCAGUGCUGCAGCUAACGCAUUAAGCAUUCCGCCUGGGGAGUACGGCCGCAAGGCUGAAACUCAAAGGAAUUGACGGGGGCCCGCACAAGCGGUGGAGCAUGUGGUUUAAUUCGAAGCUACGCGAAGAACCUUACCAGGUCUUGACAUACUAUGCAAAUCUAAGAGAUUAGACGUUCCCUUCGGGGACAUGGAUACAGGUGGUGCAUGGUUGUCGUCAGCUCGUGUCGUGAGAUGUUGGGUUAAGUCCCGCAACGAGCGCAACCCUUAUUAUCAGUUGCCAGCAUUAAGUUGGGCACUCUGGUGAGACUGCCGGUGACAAACCGGAGGAAGGUGGGGAUGACGUCAAAUCAUCAUGCCCCUUAUGACCUGGGCUACACACGUGCUACAAUGGAUGGUACAACGAGUUGCGAACUCGCGAGAGUAAGCUAAUCUCUUAAAGCCAUUCUCAGUUCGGAUUGUAGGCUGCAACUCGCCUACAUGAAGUCGGAAUCGCUAGUAAUCGCGGAUCAGCAUGCCGCGGUGAAUACGUUCCCGGGCCUUGUACACACCGCCCGUCACACCAUGAGAGUUUGUAACACCCAAAGUCGGUGGGGUAACCUUUUAGGAACCAGCCGCCUAAG
rnacentral:rRNA from 2 species